CUCGUAGGCGGUUCGUCGCGUCCGGUGUGAAAGUCCAUCGCCUAACGGUGGAUCUGCGCCGGGUACGGGCGGGCUGGAGUGCGGUAGGGGAGACUGGAAUUCCCGGUGUAACGGUGGAAUGUGUAGAUAUCGGGAAGAACACCAAUGGCGAAGGCAGGUCUCUGGGCCGUUACUGACGCUGAGGCUCGAAAGCCAGGGGAGCGAACG
rnacentral:rRNA from 1 species